UACGAAGGGGGCUAGCGUUGCUCGGAAUCACUGGGCGUAAAGCGCACGUAGGCGGACUCUUAAGUCGGUGGUGAAAUCCUGGAGCUCAACUCCAGAACUGCCUUCGAUACUGAGAGUCUCGAGUCCGGGAGAGGUGAGUGGAACUGCGAGUGUAGAGGUGAAAUUCGUAGAUAUUCGCAAGAACACCAGUGGCGAAGGCGGCUCACUGGCCCGGGUACUGACGCUGAGGUGCGAAAGCGUGGGGAGCAAACAGGG
rnacentral:rRNA from 1 species